CUCAAAAUCCUCAUAUUUACUCAUAAAUCGUUUUGCCACUAGGUUGAUGCAAAAAUCCUUAAGGCUAGUUUCCAUUUGGUCGUUAAUUGUCGCUGGCACGACAAGUGGCCGAUGUAAUACACGACAAGUGGCCGAGUGUCAACAAAAAACUCUGCAAUCAUUAAGACUGAUUUGCAUAUCACACAAAAGACUAUUAUUAUAUUAGACUAUUUCACAUCUGCCGCUUGUCGUGCCAGCGACAACUAACGACCAAAUGGAAAUUAGGCUUUACGUGCAUAUUGUAUUCUUGCCCAACCAACUAAUUAUUAGCUAUGUUUCAGGCUGAGUUAUCUGUGACUUGGACAAUUGGUUAAUUAACAUCACAUAGCGGAGGAUUUGCGGCACUGCAAUCUGGCUACGACAGUAAAGUUGUUCAGCCUCGUACCCAGGCGCAAAUGACGUACUAAAAAUAGCAAGACUACAGUGUUUUUAUCAAGCACCCCCGCAAGCUCGGCAAUUGCUAGAUAGUAUACUUCAAAAUAAGAUUUCCAUUUUUAUAUCAAUUUUUAAAAUAAUUUAGGGUUAGGUUAGGGUUAGGUUGGGGUUAGGGUGAGGGUUAGUAUUAGGGUUAGUAUUAGGGUUAGGGUUUAAUUUUGCGUUAGGAUAGUUUUUUCUACGUUAUAAAAACGGAAACCUUAUUUUGAAGUAUACUAUCUAGCGAUCACCCCGCAAGCUCGCUCAUCUUAGCCACAGAUCUAUAUAAAAAACACUGUAGUGUUGCUAUUUUUAGUACGUUAUUUGCGCCUGGGUACGAGCCUGAAAGUUGUUGCAGUUGCAAUCUCGUUCCCCGAGCCUGCGAUCCUCGGGAAGGAACGCGAGGCUCUGGGAUAAUCCGUUUCAGGGAGGAAUCUGAUUGGCCAUUGAAACGGAAUGCGUAGUUCAAUCUUAGCCAGGAUUCUUGGCUUCCGGUAACGGAUUAUCCCAGAGCCUUCGAUUCCUUCCCGAGGAUCGCAGGCUCGGGGAACGAGAUUGUUGCAGUUGUCGAAUUAUUAGUUGUUAAAUGUUAGAAACUUAGAACCCUUGAUGCAUGGGAUUUGCCUCGCAUCUGUUCCACCCGUUUCGCUACUUCUAAAUGGGUACUUAACCAAUAUUCUAAAUAUUAGAAUGCGG